rnacentral:rRNA from 1 species
UGCGUAGGCGGGUUUCUAAGUCAGAGGUGAAAGCCUGGAGCUCAACUCCAGAACUGCCUUUGAUACUGCCGAGCUAGAGUCCGGGAGAGGGUAGUGGAAUUCCAGGUGUAGGAGUGAAAUCCGUAGAGAUCUGGAGGAACAUCAGUGGCGAAGGCGACUACCUGGACCGGUACUGACGCUGAGGUGCGAAAGCUGGGGGGAGCGAACGG